rnacentral:rRNA from 1 species
AGAGUUUGAUCAUGGCUCAGAUUGAACGCUGGCGGCAGGCCUAACACAUGCAAGUCGAACGGUAGCACAGAGAGCUUGCUCUCGGGUGACGAGUGGCGGACGGGUGAGUAAUGUCUGGGAAACUGCCUGAUGGAGGGGGAUAACUACUGGAAACGGUAGCUAAUACCGCAUAAUGUCGCAAGACCAAAGAGGGGGACCUUCGGGCCUCUUGCCAUCAGAUGUGCCCAGAUGGGAUUAGCUAGUAGGUGGGGUAACGGCUCACCUAGGCGACGAUCCCUAGCUGGUCUGAGAGGAUGACCAGCCACACUGGAACUGAGACACGGUCCAGACUCCUACGGGAGGCAGCAGUGGGGAAUAUUGCACAAUGGGCGCAAGCCUGAUGCAGCCAUGCCGCGUGUAUGAAGAAGGCCUUCGGGUUGUAAAGUACUUUCAGCGGGGAGGAAGGUGUUGUGGUUAAUAACCGCAGCAAUUGACGUUACCCGCAGAAGAAGCACCGGCUAACUCCGUGCCAGCGGCCGCGGUAAUACGGAGGGUGCAAGCGUUAAUCGGAAUUACUGGGCGUAAAGCGCACGCAGGCGGUCUGUCAAGUCGGAUGUGAAAUCCCCGGGCUCAACCUGGGAACUGCAUUCGAAACUGGCAGGCUAGAGUCUUGUAGAGGGGGGUAGAAUUCCAGGUGUAGCGGUGAAAUGCGUAGAGAUCUGGAGGAAUACCGGUGGCGAAGGCGGCCCCCU